CUUGAGCGAGCCCAGCCACAACGGCCUUUCGGGGUCGGGCCGUUGUCCGUAGACGGCGAUCAGGGCCUCGGCCUC
rfam:Streptomyces sp. Amel2xC10 genome assembly, contig: K375DRAFT_scaffold00008.8